CGCACCCUGCGGUGCGCGUGGACUGCGGAAAGUCUUGAUCCAACACCGAUACAAAGGGAGCCCGGCUCUCCGCGGCCUGCGUCCAGGCCCCCUCCGAGGGGAAGGGCAAGACGGUCGUGGGAGGGCACCCACCUGUUGGGGACCGGGUUCAAAGACUCUCGCACCACGGCACACGCGGGGUGUGU
rnacentral:other from 1 species